rnacentral:misc_RNA from 1 species
GUGAAUCAUCGAAUUUUUGGACGCAAAUUGCACUCUCCGGUUUUCCGGGAGAGUAUGCCUGUUUGGGGGUCUGUUUAAAAAAUAAUCGAUGCUGCUGCUGUGGUGGCGCUUCGGAAUUGGGUCAUCUUCCACCUUUCGGUGUUGUAAGCGACCUAAAAUUUUUCUUACGAUUUCUACUAACGUGUCUAAGAAUUUCUUGUACGUUCUCUACAUCUAAAUCAUAUUAGAUGCGACCGCCGCGUCGUGUUCGCUCUCGUAGUGUAU